rnacentral:lncRNA from 1 species
UUGAAUUUAAGUUUAAAAUAUAUUUUAAAACUUUAAAAAAUAAUUCUUUUAGGGAUAUAAUAAAUUCAGCAUGUUACUCUCAAAGCUAUCCGGGUUGUCUGUGUUUCCUUCUUGAUUUCUUUCUGUUCUUUUCUGUGCAUUAAAAAAAUGCUUCAAUGGUCCACUUUCCUUUUUUCUUUCUUCUUUUGUUACAACCCUAUGACUAGGCCCUCUAUUUUCUUAUGUCACUUUCCUUACCCAAGUGAAGAAAACAAAAACCCCUUAUAACACAUGCAUGAUCAAACAAAACAGAUUUCCACAUUGUAUAUGGAAAUGUAUAUCUCAUUCUGCAUCUUGACCCAUCAUCUUUCUGUCAGGAGGAGGGAACCAUACCUUAUCAUUGGUCCUUUGGAAUCAUAGUCAUUGUAUGAUCAGAAUUCUUAAGUCUUUCAAGGUGUUUUUUCUUUGCAAUGUUGUUGUUACUGCACAAACUGUUCUUCUUGUUCUGCUCACUUUAUAUUGCAUCAGUUCAUACAAAUCAUCGAAAGUGAAACCAUCCCUUUCAUCAUUUCUUUUGACACAAUAGAAGCUCAUUAAGGUGUUCUGCCAUUCCUCAACUGAUGGACAUCCCAUUAGUUUCUAGUUCUUUGAUAAAACAAACAGAGCUUCUGUGACCACUAUUGUACAUAUGGGUCCCUUUUCUCUUUCUUUGAUCUCUUAUGGGCCUAGAUAGUGAAAGCACUGGGUCAAAGGAUAAACACAGCUUAAUGAUUUUCAUAGCAUAGUUGCUUCCAGAAUGGCUAAAUCAAUUUUCUAUGCUCCUUCUACUAACCAUCAAUUUCCCUUUUAAUCUUAUUUUUUAAUUUGCUUGGCAUGAGGUGAAACCUCAGGGUUAUUUUAAUUUGGAUUUGUAUAAUUAUUAAUGUUUUGGACCAUUUUAUAUAGUUUUUAAAAUUUUGCAUCUUUUGAUAACUAUCUCUUCAUAUCUUCUCAUCAUUUAUCUAUUGAAGAAAAGUUCUUGUUCUUAUAUAUUUAAAUCCUUGUUUAUAUGUUAUGGAUUAUUUUCAGAAACUUAUUUUCAGAGAAACUUGAUGCAAGAUUUUUUUCUCAAUAUUGACACAUUGUUGAUGUAAUUUUGAAUCAGUUCAACUAUUCUGGAAAAAAAAUUAUGAUUAUGUGCCAAAAAGUCACUAAACUAUUUUUCCCUUUUUACCCAGAAAUGCUAUUAUUGGCAAAAAAAAAAAAAAUCCCCAUAUAUAACAAAAUAUUCAUAGCAACACUUUUUAUGGCAUUUUAAAAAACCAAAACCUUGAAACAAAUGAAGGUAAUAGAUAAAUAUUAUGAAAAACUAAUAAACAACAUGUGAAGAAGCAUAGGAAAUGACAACAGAAUGAAGUAAACAAAAUCAGGAAAACAAUAUAUAGAAUGACUACAAUAUGUGAAUGAAAGAAAAACCUUGUAAGGCAGCCACACUGGCAGUUUGAUUGUAUUUACCAUUCUCAGUCUCAGAGAUCAGAUGAUGAAACACAACUCUUUUUUUUUUUUUUUUUUUUUUUUUUUUUUGGUGGAAAAGUAAGACUUCAGGUGCAGGGUAUUUAUUGAAUACUACCAGAUACAAUCAUUGUGUUAGAUGGUUUUAUUGUAAGGGAGGGUUCAAUUAUUUGGGGAAGGAGAUUGUAGUGAAAGAGCCAAAGGCAUCAAUAAAACUUUUUUAAAAUGUAUAUUUAAUGCCAAGAAAGAGAUAUAUUGGACAGAUAAAGGCAGACUAGAUCAGGGUUAGCCUGUUCUCAAUACUCUUCCUUUGUUAAUGUAACUACACAUGCAGUAUCUGAAUCCUUUUUUUUCGGCCCCUACCCAGUGUUCUGAUCCAACUGUACUAUGUAUAUUUCUCUGGAACAUUUCCUCCCUCUCUCCUCUUCUCACUCACAUUCUCUAGAACAUGUGAGGGCACCAAGUCUAAGGUGGCCCUGUUAUAUAGGUUUUGUUUGAGGCGUCUCAGGUGGGUUGGAGACAAGCUCCUUUUGUUCUCUCUUAAGACCAACCCUUCCCACCACCAUUCCUGACACAAACACUGACCUUGUAUUUCCUUUCCUUUUCUUUUGUUUCCUUUACACUCUCCUCUCAAGCUUAGCCUUCCUGAAACUGUGCCAGCUCUGAGUCUGUGUCCAACAGCAAACACUUGCCCAACCAGUUUUGUGUGUGGUGAGGGAUAAUUAAUUAAUCAUUAGAAAGCUCCAGUUGAGUAAUGCCAAC